rnacentral:rRNA from 1 species
UACGUAGGGUGCAGGCGUUAAUCGGAAUUACUGGGCGUAAAGCGUGCGCAGGCGGUUUGCUAAGACAGGUGUGAAAUCCCCGGGCUUAACCUGGGAACUGCGCUUGUUACUGGCAGGCUUGAGUGUGGCAGAGGGGGGUGGAAUUCCACGUGUAGCAGUGAAAUGCGUAGAUAUGUGGAGGAAUACCGAUGGCGAAGGCGGGUCUCUGGGCCGAUACUGACGCUGAGGAGCGAAAGCGUGGGGAGCGAACAGG